UGAGCAACCUGCCCUUGACACUGGAAUAACAGUUGGAAACAGCUGCUAAUACCGGAUAUGACCUCUGACGACAUCGUCUGGAGGUGGAAAGCUCCGGCGGUCAAGGAUGGGCUCGCGGCCUAUCAGCUUGUUGGCGGGGUGAUGGCCUACCAAGGCGACGACGGGUAGCCGGCCUGAGAGGGCGACCGGCCACACUGGGACUGAGACACGGCCCAGACUCCUAGGGAG
rnacentral:rRNA from 1 species